rnacentral:misc_RNA from 1 species
GAAAUGCGAUAAGUAAUGUGAAUUGCAGAAUUCAGUGAAUCAUCGAAUCUUUGAACGCACCUUGCGCUCCUUGGUAUUCCUUGGAGCAUGCCUGUUUGAGUAUCAUGAAAUCUUCAAAGUAAAUCUUUUGUUAACUCAAUUGGUUUCUACUUUGGUACUGGAGGUCUUUGCAGCUUCACACCUGCUCCUCUUUGUUCAUUAGCUGGAUCUCAGUGUUAUGCUUGGUUCCACUCGGCGUGAUAAGUUAUCUAUCGCUGAGGACACUGUAAAAGGUGGCCAAGGUAAAUGCAGAUGAACCGCUUCUAAUAGUCCAUUGACUUGGACAAUACUUUUAUGAUCUGAUCUCAAAUCAGGUAGGACUACCCGCUGAACUUAAGC